UAACCUUGUAUUCCUAUUAGUGUAAUCACCUGACUGGUAUAAUUUGUUUUCACAAAUGUCAAGAAACUAUAAUUGCCUUCUUGGACCUUGGAUUAGUUCAGAAAAUUUUGCCUUGUAUGAGUUCAUUUCUGCCCAGUGUGCAUCAUGCAUGGCUUUUAGAGUUGUACAUUUGAGCUGCUUUAUCAAAGAUAGGUAAGGAGAAUCGAAGAACUACAGGCCAGUCUCACCUUGAUUCCUUGGAAGGUGAUACAGCAAAUAACCCUAGAAGCAAUUUCCAAAAUAAGGACAAGAAGAUUGCAGUCAACAUGGAUCUAAGAAAGAGAAGACAUAUCCAGCCAAUGUGAUCACCUUCUGUGAUCAAAUGACCAACUUGUUGGAUAAGGGGCAAGAGCUAGAUAUGGUAUCUUGAUUUUAGCAAGAUAUGUCUCUCAUAGCAUCUUUACAGGCAAACUAGAUGAGUGGACAUCUAGAUGGAUUGAAAGCUGGCUGAAAUGGGUAGGUGGGUUGAAACUGUCUCAAAGGACUGCAAUCAAUGGUACAAAGUCCUGUUGGAAACAAGAUACCAGUGGUAUACCUCAGGUAUCAAUAUGGAGCCAACACUGUUUAAAAUUCCUGCUAAUGACCUGUAUGAUGGAGCGCAUCCUCAGCAAAUUUGCACAGGAUACAAAUGUGGGAGGAGUGGUUGAUGCAGCAGAGUAGUGCUACCAUUCAAAGGGAAAUCAGCAGGCUGGAGAAGUGGGCUGACAGAAGCAUCAUGAAGCUCAACAAAGGAAAAUACAAAGUCCUAAGGCUGAAGAGAAACAACUCCAUACACCAGUACAUACUGGGGACCAGCUAGAAAACAACAUGGCAGAGGACCUCUGGAUCCUUGUGUGCAACAAGUUGAACAUGAGCCAGUUACAUGUAUUUGUAGUAAAAAAAGGCUAAAGAUAUCUUUGGCUGCAGUGGGAGAAGUGUUGCCAGCAGGUGGAAGGAUGUGAUCCUUUCAUUCUACUCAGUGUUUGAGAGGUCAUACCUGGAGUACUGGUUCCAAGUUUGGACUCUAGUAAAAGAGAGAUGUGGGCACAUUGGAUUAUUUCCAGUGAAGGACCAUUAAGAUAAUUAAGCAUUUGGAGCAUCUUUCAUACGAAGAGAGGCUGAGAAAGCUGGAACAGUUCAACCUGGAAAAAAAAAAAAAAGGCUUAAGGAGAGAGUCAUGAGCAUGUACACAAUGCAUAUAAAUACUUGAUGGGGAGAA
rnacentral:lncRNA from 1 species